rnacentral:rRNA from 1 species
CAGUCGCCGCGGUAAAACGAAGGGUGCAAGCGUUAAUCGGAUUUACUGGGCGUAAAGCGUGCGUAGGCGGCUUUUUAAGUCGGAUGUGAAAUCCCUGAGCUUAACUUAGGAAUUGCAUUCGAUACUGGGAAGCUAGAGUAUGGGAGAGGAUGGUAGAAUUCCAGGUGUAGCGGUGAAAUGCGUAGAGAUCUGGAGGAAUACCGAUGGCGAAGGCAGCCAUCUGGCCUAAUACUGACGCUGAGGUACGAAAGCAUGGGGAGCAAACAGGAUUAGAUACCCCAGUAGUCCCUGUCUCUUAUAC